rnacentral:rRNA from 1 species
AUUGAACGCUGGCGGCAGGCCUAACACAUGCAAGUCGAGCGGAGCGGCGGACGGGUGAGUAAUGCCUAGGAAUCUGCCUGGUAGUGGGGGCUAACGUCCGGAAACGGGCGCUAAUACCGCAUACUAUCAGAUGAGCCUAGGUCGGAUUAGCUAGUUGUUGGAGUAAUGGCCUACCAAGUCGACGAUCCGUCACUGGUCUGAGAGGUUGAUCAGUCAACCUGGAACGGAGACACGGUCCAGACUCCUACGGGAGGAAGCAGUGGGGAAUAUGGGACAAUGGGCGAAAGCCUGCUACAGCCAUGCGGCGUGUGUGAAGAAGGUCUUCGGAGUGUAAAGCCCUUUAAGUUGGGAGGCGUUACCAACAGAAUAAGCACCGGCUAACUUCGUGCCAGCAGCCGCGGUAAUAC